UACGGAGGGGGCUAGCGUUGUUCGGAAUUACUGGGCGUAAAGCGCGCGUAGGCGGGCUGUUAAGUCGGGGGUGAAAUCCCGGGGCUCAACCCCGGAACUGCCUUCGAUACUGGCAGCCUAGAGGAAGGCAGAGGCUAGUGGAAUGGCGAGUGUAGAGGUGAAAUUCGUAGAUAUUCGCCGGAACACCAGUGGCGAAGGCGACUGGCUGGGCCUUUUCUGACGCUGAGGUGCGAAGGCGUGGGGAGCAAACAGG
rnacentral:rRNA from 1 species